AACUCGCCAACGGUUUGAGUAUUGCAUCAUCCCAGGGCAGCCGCGCAUCACUUUUCGCCCCCCGCUCAGUCGUCGGUAGCGCCUCGUCGCCAGCACACGCCGUUUUCGAGUAGUGACCCGUGAUUUGUUUUCAUAUCAUCACGAUGAGGAUAAUAAACGAACAACUGAACGAUGAAGAAA